UCCGAGUUGACCCCGGCGGUCAGCGCCAUGUCAAGCCCUGGUAAGGUUCUUCGCGUAGCUUCGAAUUAAACCGCACGCUCCGCUGCUUGUGCGGGCCCCCGUCAAUUCCUUUGAGUUUUAGCCUUGCGGCCGUACUCCCCAGGCGGUCGACUUCACGCGUUAGCUUCGUUACUGAGAGUGUCAAACCCCCAACAACCAGUCGACAUCGUUUAGGGCGUGGACUAC
rnacentral:misc_RNA from 1 species